rnacentral:rRNA from 1 species
UACGUAGGGUCCUAGCGUUGUCCGGAAUUACUGGGCGUAAAGAGCUCGUAGGCGGUUUGUCGCGUUGUUCGUGAAAACUCACAGCUCAACUGUGGGCGUGCGGUCGAUACGGGCAGACUAGAGUACUGGAGGGGAUACUGGAAUUCCUGGUGUAGCGGUGAAAUGCGCAGAUAUCAGGAGGAACACCGAUGGCGAAGGCAGGUCUCUGGGCCGCUACUGACGCUGAGAAGCGAAAGCAUGGGGAGCGAACAGG